rnacentral:pre_miRNA from 1 species
AAAUUUGGAGGCCUGGGGCCCUCCCUGCUGCUGGACAAGUGUCUGCAUGGGUGAGCCUUAUCUUUGAAAGG